UACGUAGGGGGCAAGCGUUGUCCGGAAUUAUUGGGCGUAAAGGGCUCGUAGGCGGUUUGUCGCGUCGGGAGUGAAAAUCCAGGGCUUAACUCUGGACUGGCUUCCGAUACGGGCAGACUAGAGGUAUGCAGGGGAGAACGGAAUUCCUGGUGUAGCGGUGAAAUGCGCAGAUAUCAGGAGGAACACCGGUGGCGAAGGCGGUUCUGCCGUGGGCG
rnacentral:rRNA from 1 species